rnacentral:rRNA from 1 species
UAGGGUUCGAUCCUGGCUCAGAACGUACGCUGGCGGCAGGCCUAACACAUGCNAGUCGAGCGCACCUUCGGGUGAGCGGCGGACGGGUUAGUAACGCGUGGGAACGUACCCUUUUCUACGGAAUAGCCUUUGGAAACGAAGAGUAAUACCGUAUACGCCCUUUGGGGGAAAGAUCUAUCGGAGAAGGAUCGGCCCGCGUUAGAUUAGAUAGNUGGNGGGGUAACGGNCNNNNAAGUCUACNAUCUAUAGCCGGUUUUAGAGGAUGAUC